CAGGGCUUCCUAGCUCGGGAAGCAGACUCAGAGAGGGUGUGUGGCUUGCCCCAGGUCACACAGCGGGGCAGGGGCCCAGGGCCUAGCCUGCCAGUCCUGUUUCUGCCCCCAUCCUGGGGUUCUGGUGCAGGGUCUCCUGCCUGUGCUGACCAGCAGUAUUCAUGAGGUGCUGGGCUCAGGGAGCACUGACGGGGGAGCACUUCCUGUGUGCCAGGCCCAGGACUCAGCGCUGUGGUGCCCCGACCCCUGGAAAUCUCACAGCAGCCUG
rnacentral:lncRNA from 1 species